rnacentral:rRNA from 1 species
UACGAAGGUCCCGAGCGUUGUUCGGAAUCACUGGGCGUAAAGGGAGCGUAGGCGGCAUGGUAAGUCAGAUGGUGAAAUCCCGGGGCCUCAACCCCGGAACUGCAUCCGAUACUGCCUUUGCGUUGAGGGUUGGAGAGGUAGCUGGAAUUAUCGGUGUAGCAGUGAAAUGCGUGGAUAUCGAAUAGGAACACUCGUGGCGAAGGCGAGCUACGUGGACAACAAUC